CAGUAGCCGCGGUAAUACGUAGGUGGCAAGCGUUGUCCGGAAUUAUUGGGCGUAAAGGGCUCGCAGGCGGUUUCUUAAGUCUGAUGUGAAAGCCCCCGGCUCAACCGGGGAGGGUCAUUGGAAACUGGGAAACUUGAGUGCAGAAGAGGAGAGUGGAAUUCCACGUGUAGCGGUGAAAUGCGUAGAGAUGUGGAGGAACACCAGUGGCGAAGGCGACUCUCUGGUCUGUAACUGACGCUGAGGAGCGAAAGCGUGGGGAGCGAACAGGAUUAGAUACCCCAGUAGUCCCUGUCUCUUAUAU
rnacentral:rRNA from 1 species